rnacentral:lncRNA from 13 species
AUGGAGUUUAUGGGGUUUCGUCCAGGGCUGGAGGACCACUGGGUCUGGAGGAGCCAGAUGGACAGUGGGGUCAUGGCGUCCCUGCAUCACCUCCAUGUAUACAGCCUUUGCAGUUUACAAGAAGCUCUCACUGUAUUUUCUCAUUUAGGCCUUGCAACAACCUGUGAGAUGUGUGCUGACUGCCCACAUUUGCCAGAUGAGAAGCUGAGGAUUGGAGAUGUCCAGGAACCUGUCCAGCAUGGCAUGGGGGAGCUCCUGAGAAGACAAUGGGGGCCCCAUGAUCUGAUUAGCCUGGCCCCAGCUGGAGGAGUGAAGAGGUAAAGGGCUCCAUGGGAAGUCUCUAUUGCCUGGGCCUUCGCCUGAGACCACUGGACAUCUCGAUGAGAGAAAACAAAGGCUUGAUGUAUCAAGUAUUCCCUUGGUCCUCUCUGGCUUCUCCAAGCCCCUCCGGUUCACUAUGCUGCCUCCCCACUCCCCAGGACUCUGCCACACUUAGUUUCCUUGGCCAGGACUUUUCUUUCCUCCCCCAGCACCCUCCUCCCUCACUCUCCUGCCCCACCAUUUCCAACCCAUCUUUCCCAUCUCAACCUGAACAUCACUUUCUGGGGUGUGGCUCUUAGUCCCCAGGCAACGCCAGCUGCUUCAGUUGUAGAUUCUGAGUGUCCAGAACACUCAGUUUGCAGCUCUUUAAUCUCACCUGUAAUUAAAUGAUUCAUUGUGCAGUUGUAAUUUCAAAAAUAGCAUUACUGACUUGCACAUACUUAGAAUCUAAAAUGUGAGGAGUUUUGACAUAUAUUAAAAGUAAUGGCAAAAAAUGCCAAUUGCUUUUGCAUCAACCUAAUAUAUUCACUCAUUAAAACAUCACCACAAUCAAGAUAAUGAACAUAUUCAUCUUCCCUAAAAGGUUAGCUCAUGACUCCUUGUAAUCCUUCCCUCCCUCCUGCUGACCCUCUCCACCCUAGAUCUAAUUUCUGCUUGGCAUUUUCUAGAAUUUUAUAUAACUAAAAUAUUCUAUAAUAUGUACAGGGUUUGGCUUCUUUCACUCGGCAUAAUUAUUUUGACAUUCAUUCAUGCUGUCGUGUGCGUCAGUAGUUCCUUUUCACUACAGAGUAGUAUUUCGUUCUCUGUAUAUAGCAUGAUUUUUAUAUCUAUUCACUGUUGAUGGAUAUUUGGGGUGAUUCCAGCUUUUGGUGAUUAUGAAUAAAGCUGCAAUAAAUAUAUACA